rnacentral:tRNA from 1 species
CCGGUGCGCAGGAGACGGUUACUUCCGCUUCAGACGGAGAGGUUGCGGGUUCGAGUCCCGUCCGGACCA